rnacentral:rRNA from 1 species
AGUGAACGCUGGCGGUAGGCCUAACACAUGCAAGUCGAACGGCAGCACAGUAAGAGCUUGCUCUUACGGGUGGCGAGUGGCGGACGGGUGAGGAAUACAUCGGAAUCUACUUUUUCGUGGGGGCUAACGUAGGGAAACUUACGCCAAUACCGCAUACGACCUACGGGUGAAAGCAGGGGAUCUUCGGACCUUGCGCGAUUGAAUGAGCCGAUGUCGGAUUAGCUAGUUGGCGGGGUAAAGGCCCACCAAGGCGACGAUACGUAGCUGGUCUGAUAGGAUGGUCAGCCACACUGGAACGGAGACACGGUCCAGACGCCUACGGGAGGCAGCAGUGGGGAAUAUUGGACAGUGGUCGCAAGCCUGAUCCAGCCAUACCGCGUGUGAGAAGAAGGCCUUCGGGUUGUAAAGCCCUUUUGUUGGGAAAGAAAAGCAGCAGGUUAAUACCCCGCUGUUCUGACGGUACCCAAAGAAUAAGCACCGGCUAACUUCGUG